CCUGACUUCUCUUUUUUUCUUUCUUUUUCUUUUUAUGCUUUACUAAUUGUGUAAUUUUUUUUUAAAUUAAGAUUUUUUUUAUUUUAGGGCUAAUUAGGCUUAAUUAGAUCGGGUGUUACAUCAACUUCCGUAGAUUACUAUCCUGCAGAAACUGUUAGAGCAUGAUGUACUAUUAAUCUCAGAAGUUAGUACAGUAGCUCCACCUUCGUCCC
rnacentral:lncRNA from 1 species